GUCGAGAGGCUUCGGCAAUGGGGGAAACCCUGACCGAGCGACGCCGCGUGGGGGAUGAAGGCCCUUGGGUUGUAAACCCCUUUCGACCGGGAAGAAAGAUCUCCGGGUGAACAAUCCGGGGACUUGACGGUACCGGUGGAAGAAGCUCCGGCUAACUCCGUGCCAGCAGCCGCGGUAACACGGGGGGAGCGAACGUUGUUCGGAAUCACUGGGCGUAAAGGGCGUGUAGGCGGUUUGGUAAGUGGGAUGUGAAAGCCCCCGGCUCACCCGGGGAACUGCAUCCCAAACUGCCAGACUUGAGUGCGGGAGAGGAUGGGGGAAUUCCUGGUGUAGCGGUGAAAUGCGUAGAUAUCAGGAGGAACACCGGUGGCGAAGGCGCCCAUCUGGCCCGUUACUGACGCUGAGGCGCGAAAGCUAGGGGAGCAAACGGGAUUAGAAACCCUAGUAGUCC
rnacentral:rRNA from 1 species